UACAGAGGAGCCAAGCGUUGUCCGGAUUGACUGGGCGUAAAGCGCACGCAGGCGGAUGCGCGCGUGGGGUGUGAAAUCUGGCCGCUUAACGGCCAGGCGCCAUCCCAUACGGCGCGUCUGGAGCCUUGCAGAGGUCGGUGGAAUUGCCGGUGUAGUGGUGAAAUUCGUAGAUAUUCGCAAGAACACCAGUGGCGAAGGCGGCUUACUGGUCCGGAACUGACGCUGAGGUGCGAAAGCGUGGGGAGCAAACAGGG
rnacentral:rRNA from 1 species